AUGUUUGCAGCCUGCACUACUAUCACUCUUGGAGAUGGCUCGACGGCUCGUUUCUGGACUGAUAAAUGGAUGUUGGGCAAGGCUCCGGAAGAUUUAGCACCACUGGCUUUUCGGCCAGCGCGCAGGAAAAACUUAACUGUGAAAGAGGCCUUGGCUGAUGGGGGGUGGAUGAAGGGACUGCAACGCAUUGCAACCAUGGAGGAAGUUGAGGAGUUCAUCCACCUCUGGGAGCGGAUUCAAACCAUCCAGUUAACAUCAAACAGAGAUUGCAUCAAGUGGAACCUAUCCGGUGAUGGAAACUACUCUUUAAAUUCUGCGUAUCAAUUUCAGUUUCUCACAAGGAUCCCCCAACCAAGGCUCGAACAGGCUUCACGUGCAAUGGUUGAACCAAAGGUGAAAUUCUAUGUGUGGCUGCUACUGCAGAACCACAACUGGACGUCCGACAGACUAAGGAACAGAGGAUGGGCCCAUACUGACAAGGGCCCACUCUGCGAUCAAAUUCUGGAGACAGCCACGCACAUUACACUUAACUGUCCUUUUACUGAAAAAGGCUUCUGCCCCGCUAUAUAUAUAAGCAACAUAGCCAAACGAUACAUGGUGUUGAGGAGAUCCUCUUACAAAGCAGAUCAAAGAAAAAUACAUGAAAACCAGGGAGACCACACCCUACCAUAA
rnacentral:rRNA from 1 species